CCUUCUCCUCCGUUCCUAUCCAUAUUCGUGAACUCUCUCUCUCUCUCACCGAGGAAGCCCACGAAUUCCACCAAAGUGUUUCUCCAUUUUCGUUCAUCCCUCUGCCACACGAACAGUCCAUUUCAACAAAAAGAAUUGACUGGCUUCGACGCCAAGAUCCCACCGAAGCCCUCAACUCCACGCGUCCAUCUUCCACUUCGCUGUACCAGUCGGCAAUCGAGCUGAAGACGCCGAGGCAACACCGAAGCAACUCCAUUCCACCGAAGACGCACGCCCCUGCUCCACUUUCAUUUGUCUCUGCCACGUCCAGCUAGUCAACCGUCAAUUUUUGGAGUCUCAAUUGUUAACCGAAGCCCCACGUUCUCACCGACGCAGCUUGGUGCCACAGCUUCUUCCCUCUCCACGCGUCCUUCACUUCGGCGUCAGCCCCCACCGAGCGAAGACAGCAAAACCUGCGUCCGCUCAAUCCACACGCCCCUGCACCCGUGCCCCCUUUCCUUCGCUGCACGUGGCGAGCGAGCCCAUUCAACCGGUCCAUCUCCAGCAGUCCAAUGAAGUCAGCAAUCUCGGCCCAAACCUGUAGUCUUCAAGCCCAGUAAUUUUCAAUCUAGCUGGGCCCAAAAAUUCAGCAACUCAGCCACUUGAAGCCCGGCCAGUUCAGUUGUAUUUCAAGUUUCAGCCCAAAGAGAGCCCAUUUUCAGUUUAAUUCUGGCCCAGCAAGCAGCUCACAAUUCAGUAUUUUCAAGCCCAAGUGAUUAAAGAAGUCAGCCCAAUCUUGAAGUCCAAAGUUUCUUCGAGCUUUCGAAGUUCUUGGCCCGGCCCAAGUUCGGCCGCCGUUGCGUCGUCGUCUCGGUGUCCCGGCCUUCGUUUAGUGCAAGUGAGUUUUACUCACUAAUGCUUUAUUAGUUUGCUAAUUAUGCUUAGGGUUGGUUAGAUUUAAUUAAGUGUAAUUAGGUGGUUAGAUUAGGUUAAAAUAAUUAAAUUAGUGACUUAAUAAUGCAUGUUAGGUGGUUAGACUUAGUCAUUAGCAAGUAGAGAGCCUCUAAUAUUUAUUGAAUGUAUCUCGAGAUUUUGCCUGACCCGUUUCGAGCUCCAAUCAGGCAUUACGGGCCUAAAUUGGAUUUUAUUUAUUUAUUUUUCGAAAUUAAUUAUUUAAUUAAUUAUUUUUCCGAAAAUUCAACCGGGAUGGCCGGUGACCGAAAUUUCGUGCUGAUUGUCGUGGUGCAGCCCAUUUAUUUAUUUGAGCUCUACGUUGUGUGGAAUUGAAUUAAUUGUGAAAUUUGAGGAUUUGUCCUUAAUUGUUUGUUAUUGAAUAUUUGGUUGGUAGAUGGCCGAAUACGGGUCUAUAGCGCCAGUUACGUUGAUGGGCUAUAUAGUAGAGAGGAUGGUGAGAUCUAACUGAGAAUGUUAUUGAUGAGACCAAUCAGGUACGAUAUUAUUGGACAUACGUGGUUCGGUGAUUGGAAGUAUCACUGGCGAAAACGGCGCCUUAAAGAACGCACGUGAAUGACUUAUAGACAAACGUGGUUCGGUGAUUAAGGAAAUAUCACUGGUGAAAACGACGCCUUAAAGAACUCACGAUGUUGUCUAUAGCCGAUGUCACCUUGGUGAAAACGGCGCCCUAGAAAGGACACGUGGUUCGGUGAUCGAGGAUAUCACUGGUGAAAACGGCACCUUAAAGAAUGCAUGAUGUCGGUGAUCAUUAUGUCAUUGGCGAAAACGACGCCCGAGAAACACAUGUGAUUUGGUAAAUGAGUACACCAUUGGGAAAUCGUGGUAUGAGUGGGAAUGACCUAGAGAGGAUCUGACUGACAUGUAAUCGACUAAGUUGAUUGACCAAUGCUUGAUCGGAUGUCGUGAAUUGUUUGAAUAUCUGUGUUUAACCUUGAAUUGCAGGUUGGAACUGAGGCCAAUGUAAGUCCUUUGACUCGUGUUGUGCUUAGGCAACCGUAUGGCGUAUUAGUUUACUAAUCGGGUCUUAGGGGGUAGGACUUGCUGAGACGUGGUCUCAUUGGUUAUUGAAUAACUAUUUCAGGACCUUGAGAAGAAGCUGAGGAGGAGGAACCUAAAGGGAGAAAGACUUUUGAAGAAGAAGAUGAUCCAGAGAGGGAUCUUGAGUAUAACCCGGAUGUGGAUUGAGAUCCCAUCCCUUUUGUGAACCCUGUCUUAUUGUAGAUAGGUGUGAGACUUGUUUGCUGUAAAUAGUAUUGCAAAUAUACUAUGAGUUGCACUGUUAAUAAAAUUGUGGUUGUGAAUUUCAAUACGAAAAAUAUG
rnacentral:lncRNA from 1 species